rnacentral:rRNA from 1 species
UACCAGCACCCCGAGUGGUCGGGACGUUUAUUGGGCCUAAAGCAUCCGUAGCCGGUUCUACAAGUCUUCCGUUAAAUCCACCUGCUUAACAGAUGGGCUGCGGAAGAUACUAUAGAGCUAGGAGGCGGGAGAGGCAAGCGGUACUCGAUGGGUAGGGGUAAAAUCCGUUGAUCCAUUGAAGACCACCAGUGGCGAAGGCGGCUUGCCAGAACGCGCUCGACGGUGAGGAGCGAAAGCCAGGGGAGCAAACGGG